rnacentral:rRNA from 1 species
AUAUCAAUAAGCGGAGGAAAAGAAACUAACAAGGAUUCCCCUAGUAACGGCGAGUGAAGCGGGAACAGCUCAAAUUUGAAAUCUCACAAGGUUACUUGUGCGAAUUGUAGUUUAGAGAAACGUUUUCGGGGGCAGCGUGGGUAUAAGUCCUUUGGAAAGAGGCAUCAUAGAGGGUGAGAAUCCCGUUUAUGAUCCACUGUCUGCUCCUAUGUGAUACGUUUUCCAAGAGUCAGGUAGUUUGGGAUUGCUGCCUAAAAUGGGUGGUAAAUACCAUCUAAAGCUAAAUAUUGGCGAGAGACCGAUAGCGCACAAGUA